AAAAGGUACAGACCCUCACUCCAGAGCAGUUGCUCUUCUUAUCAGUUUCUUCGGCCUCAUCGUGUCUAAGAGCAGUUCCAGUAGCAGUUCCUUUCAGUUUGCCCCCCACUUCCUUCAAACCCAAUUAUCAUAGGCCUUUCUUCUUACAAUGUGAAAAACAGAAAGAGGAGCAGAAAAAUAGAGAACCACGGCUGGGAACAACCACAACGCUCCUUGCCAGCUUCACCAAUUUCCCAGGUUUUCCCCGCUUAAUUUGAUGCAUGCCUUCUUUUUAUCCCUCUUUUACUGUUGUUUUGGUUUCCUCAGAAAAUUUCUCAUUUAAUUGGGUUACUUCCCAGCAUCUCCAAGAAUUAAACACCUAUGAUUUCAACUGAAAGUUUUAGAAGGUGGUAAGCCUAACAGAUCUUUCUUUCUUAUUUGUAUUAUAUUCUUUCUUUGAUUGGGUUUUGAGAUCUUUCACGUUCAGAGAAGGUUUUAGAGGAAAGGUGUUUGUUGAUGAUUUUCCGUAUUUCUCUAUCGUGUAUGUUGAACGGUUCUCAUGGCUUUUGUGUUCAUAUCAGACCCAUGUCCAAAUGAAACGGUAAAUUACAGUGGGUAAGAGAGUUUUGAGAAACUUACUCCUUUUGCUGCAUGCUCACCAUUUAUCGGAUUGAUUUUUAUUUGCUAUAUGAAAUGGUAGGUAUGAAAUUUAAGAUAUGAAUGAAAGUUUGGUUAUUCAACUUAUAUUUGGAUUCUUGAUUAUUCAAGAACAGUUGCUGCAACUCCAAGAAUAGGGUAGGUGUUUACUCGCAUGGUUAAUUCGCAGGAGAAUACUUUGAAGAGAAAACAGAGAGAUGUUGCAACAAGUCUCAUAUUUGUUCCUUGGUCGUUCAUUUUAUGAAAUGGUUAUAUAAAGAAGCAAUCUGUUUAUGUUGUUUUUCUUUUUUUGCCAAUCUGUUUAUGUUUGCUGCAAUGAUUGCAUUUUUGUAAGAAUGAAAAAUAGUUUCAUCCAUAUACAUUACUGCAUUCGAGGAAAUGCAACCCUCUUUUUGUGUAUUGUUGGCUCUUCAUAUAUAAUUGAGAUUUAAACUUGCCAUAACUUAUAGAUUGUCUUAAACUGAUGACAAUGACUACUGUUGCUAUAUUUCUACUAUUAUAUAGAUAUAUAUGUAUAUGUUGUAUAUUGUGGAUAUUGCAACCCCUGCUCACUUGGUUAUGUGGAGCAGUUGGUAGCUGAGAACAUCUCUUUUGGCCAUGACUGUGAUAUGAAACCCAAGCCAGGAAGGUGAACGGGGUGAAAGGGUUCUAAGACGAGGAGGACCGCAUGUAUACAGAUUAUGCUAUGAUUUUUUUCCUUCUAUCUUUUUUUUCUCCUGGGAUUCCUUUGGUAGAAGAAUUAAAAGCAAAAUGAGGAUGAUAGAGAUGGAGGGAGUUCAAGGGGAGGAAAACUGCUAAAGGACUUACUGGCUGUGGCUGUGUUUCUUCUCUUUUUAGAGGUCUUCAAGGGGGGUUCAACUUCCCAAAGUGCAGGAGGCUUGCAGAGGAAUUGAAUCAUAUGUUUGGGUUUGGGGUACAAAAUCGUGAUGUCUAACUAAUUCACCAAUCCUCUCAGGGGAUUCAUUUGCUACAGGAAUUAAAAUAGAGUGGGAGGGAGGAAAAGGGAAGGAAAGGUUUUCCUUUUUUUUUUUCUUCAUUAUACUUCAAGUUUCUUUUGCUACUGGCUUCAUGGAUUAUCAAACCCACGAUAAUUGUUGUGCAGGAGUUAUUGUUCUCUCAUUGUUGUUGUAGAUAGAUCGGCUGCACGUGUGGGUCUUCAACUUCUUUAGGUUUAUCAGCCUUGAAAUUUAGUUAUAUUCAUAAAAAAUUAUGUGUUGUAUUAAAUGUUGUUUGUUUCCUAACAACAAUGGGAUCAAAGAAUUUGUUUGACUACAACAGUUGAAAUGA